rnacentral:ncRNA from 1 species
GAAAGCCGUGUGCAAUGAAAAAUGCAAGCACGGCUUGGGGAGGGGUUUUUUCUUAUUUAGUUAACAUAACAAGAAAAUUAUCUACUCCAU